rnacentral:tRNA from 1 species
GAGAGAUUAGUUAAAUUAUAAUAUAAGAUUGUCAGUCUUACGUUGCUAGUUAAACUAGUAUCUCUUG